CUCCAGCCUGGGCAACAAGAUCGAAACUCUGUUUCAAAACAAACUAACAAACAAAAAACAAGGAUCUGAACCACGGAAGAGCAGCACUAUAAGAAAAAAGCACAUACUAUAAUUAUUUAGGAGUAAAAUUUAACAAGACUUAGUAAUUAAUUAAAUGUGGGACUAAAGGAGAGGGAAGAAUCCAAGAUAACUUUGAGAAUUUUGACUUCAGCAAUAUGGUAGAAAUUUCAGAAAGUUAGGAAACACAGGAAUGGGAGCAAUUUUUGAGAGAAAGAUAAGCUUGGUUGGGGCAUGUCGAAUUGGAAGUACCUAUGGGGGCAUCAAGAUAGAAAUAACUGUCAGGCAUUUGAACCACAGUGACUCCAUCUUGAAUAGGGUAGAAUAAGGCUGAGACCUGCUGUGCUGCAUUCCCAGGAAGCUAGGUGUUUUUAGUCACAUGGUGAAAUAGGAAGCCUGCACAAGAUACAGAUCAUAAAGACUCCACUGAUAAGAUGCAGUAAAGAAGCUAGACAAAACCCACCAAAACCAGGAUGGUGACCUCUGGUCUACUCACUGACCCCUGGUCUCCUUGUUGCCCAUUAUAUGUUAGUUAUAAUGCAUUAGCAUGCAUUAUAGGAGACAUCCUACCAGUGCCAUGACAGUUUACAAAUGCCAUAGCAACUUGAGAAGUUACCCUAUAGAGUCUAAAAAGGGGAGAAGCCCUCAAUUCUGGGAAAUCCCCAUGUCUUUCCCAGAAAACUUGUGAAUAAUCCACCCCUUGUUUAUCAUGUAACCAAGAAAUAACUGUAAGUAUACUCAGUGGAGCAGCCCAUAUCUCUGCUCUGCCUAUGGAGUAGCCAUUCUUUUGUUUACUUCUCCAGUAAACUUGCUUUCACUUUACUCUAUGGACGCACCCCAAAUUCUUUCUUUCUUUCUUUCUUUUUUUUUUUUUGAGAUGGACUUUUGCUCUUGUUGCCCAGGCUGGAGCGCAAUGGUGCGAUCUUGGCUCACCACGACCUCCACCUCCC
rnacentral:lncRNA from 1 species